rnacentral:rRNA from 1 species
GGGUUGUGAGGUUAAGCGAAUAAGCGUACACGGUGGAUGCCUAGGCAAUCAGAGGCGAUGAAGGACGUGCUAAUCUGCGAAAAGCGUCGGUAAGGUGAUAUGAACCGUUAUACCCGACGAUAUCCGAAUGGGGAAACCCAGUAUCCAAUGGAUACUAUCAUUAACUGAAUCCAUAGGUUAAUGAGGCGAACCGGGAGAACUGAAACAUCUCAGUACCCCGAGGAAAAGAAAUCAACCGAGAUUCCCCUAGUAGCGGCGAGCGAACGGGGAGCAGCCCAGAGUCUUAAUCAAUAGCAGUGUCAGGAGAACGGUCUGGAAAGUCCGGCAGUAAAGGGUGAUAGCCCCGUAUCUGAAGAUGCUGUUAUUGUGAACUCGACGAGUAGGGCGGGACACGUGUUAUCCUGUCUGAAUAUGGGGGGACCAUCCUCCAAGGCUAAAUACUCCUGAUUGACCGAUAGUGAACCAGUACCGUGAGGGAAAGGCGAAAAGAACCCCGGCGAGGGGAGUGAAAAAGAACCUGAAACCGUGUACGUACAAGCAGUAGGAGCCUCUUUAUGGGGUGACUGCGUACCUUUUGUAUAAUGGGUCAGCGACUUAUAUUCUGUAGCAAGGUUAACCGUAUAGGGGAGCCGUAGGGAAACCGAGUCUUAACUGGGCGAAUGAGUUGCAGGGUAUAGACCCGAAACCCGGUGAUCUAUCCAUGGGCAGGUUGAAGGUUGGGUAACACUAACUGGAGGACCGAACCGACUAAUGUUGAAAAAUUAGCGGAUGACUUGUGGAUGGGGGUGAAAGGCCAAUCAAACCGGGAGAUAGCUGGUUCUCCCCGAAAGCUAUUUAGGUAGCGCCUCGUGAACUCAUCUUCGGGGGUAGAGCACUGUUUCGACUAGGGGGUCAUCCCGACUUACCAACUCGAUGCAAACUGCGAAUACCGAAGAAUGUUAUCACGGGAGACACACGGCGGGUGCUAACGUCCGUCGUGAAGAGGGAAACAACCCAGACCGCCAGCUAAGGUCCCAAAGUCAUGGUUAAGUGGGAAACGAAGUGGGAAGGCUCAGACAGCCAGGAUGUUGGCUUAGAAGCAGCCAUCAUUUAAAGAAAGCGUAAUAGCUCACUGGUCGAGUCGGCCCGCGCGGAAGAUGUAACGGGGCUAAACCAUGCACCGAAGCUGCGGCAGCGANNGUUGGGUAGGGGAGCGUUCUGUAAGCCUGCGAAGGUGUACUGUGAGGUAUGCUGGAGGUAUCAGAAGUGCGAAUGCUGACAUAAGUAACGAUAAUGCGGGUGAAAAACCCGCACGCCGGAAGACCAAGGGUUCCUGUCCAACGUUAAUCGGGGCAGGGUGAGUCGACCCCUAAGGCGAGGCUGAAAAGCGUAGUCGAUGGGAAACGGGUUAAUAUUCCCGUACUGGUGGUAACUGCGAUGGGGGAACGGAGAAGGCUAGGUUGUCCGGGCGACGGUCGUCCCGGUUCAAGCAGGUAGGCAGAGUGAUUAGGCAAAUCCGGUCACUUAAUGCUGAGAUGUGAUGACGAACCACCAAGGUGGUGAAGCAAUUGAUGCCCCGCUUCCAGGAAAAGCCUCUAAGCUUCAGGUUACCAACAAUCGUACCCCAAACCGACACAGGUGGUCAGGUAGAGAAUACUCAGGCGCUUGAGAGAACUCGGGUGAAGGAACUAGGCAAAAUGGUGCCGUAACUUCGGGAGAAGGCACGCUGGCGGUAGGUAAAGUCCCUCGCGGACGGCGCUGAAGCCAGUCGAAGAUACCAGCUGGCUGCAACUGUUUAUUAAAAACACAGCACUGUGCAAACACGAAAGUGGACGUAUACGGUGUGACGCCUGCCCGGUGCUGGAAGGUUAAUUGAUGGGGUCAGCCGUAAGGCGAAGCUCCUGAUCGAAGCCCCAGUAAACGGCGGCCGUAACUAUAACGGUCCUAAGGUAGCGAAAUUCCUUGUCGGGUAAGUUCCGACCUGCACGAAUGGCGUAAUGAUGGCCAGGCUGUCUCCACCCGAGACUCAGUGAAAUUGAACUCGCUGUGAAGAUGCAGUGUACCCGCGGCAAGACGGAAAGACCCCGUGAACCUUUACUAUAGCUUGACACUGAACAUUGAGCCUUGAUGUGUAGGAUAGGUGGGAGGCUUUGAAGUGUGGACGCCAGUCUGCAUGGAGCCAACCUUGAAAUACCACCCUUUAACGUUUGAUGUUCUAACCUAGGCCCAUAAACUGGGUCGGGGACCGUGUCUGGUGGGUAGUUUGACUGGGGCGGUCUCCUCCUAAAGAGUAACGGAGGAGCACGAAGGUUGGCUAAGCAUGGUCGGACAUCAUGCGGUUAGUGCAAAGGCAUAAGCCAGCUUGACUGCGAGAGUGACGGCUCGAGCAGGUACGAAAGUAGGUCUUAGUGAUCCGGUGGUUCUGAAUGGAAGGGCCAUCGCUCAACGGAUAAAAGGUACUCCGGGGAUAACAGGCUGAUACCGCCCAAGAGUUCAUAUCGACGGCGGUGUUUGGCACCUCGAUGUCGGCUCAUCACAUCCUGGGGCUGAAGUAGGUCCCAAGGGUAUGGCUGUUCGCCAUUUAAAGUGGUACGCGAGCUGGGUUUAGAACGUCGUGAGACAGUUCGGUCCCUAUCUGCCGUGGGCGUUGGAAGAUUGAGAGGGGUUGCUCCUAGUACGAGAGGACCGGAGUGAACGCACCACUGGUGUUCGGGUUGUCAUGCCAAUGGCAUUGCCCGGUAGCUAAGUGCGGAAGAGAUAACCGCUGAAAGCAUCUAAGCGGGAAACUUGCCUCGAGAUGAGUCUUCCCUGUCGCUUUAAGUGACCUAAAGGAACGUUUAAGACUAAGACGUUGAUAGGCUGGGUGUGUAAGCGUAGCGAUACGUUGAGCUAACCAGUACUAAUGAACCGUGAGGCUUAACCUGACAACACCGAAAGUGUUUUG